GAUAAACGCUGGCGGCGCACAUAAGACAUGCAAGUUGAACGGACUUAAUCGAAAUAUUUAUAUUUUGAAGCGGUUAGUGGCGGACUGGUGAGUAACGCGUAAGGAACCUGCCUAUUAGAGGGGAAUAACAGUGGGAAAUCAUUGCUAAUACCGCAUAUGCCAUAGAUAUCACAUGAUAACAGUGGGAAAGGAGCAAUCCGCUAAUAGAUGGCCUUGCGUCUGAUUAGAUAGUUGGUGGGGUAACGGCCUACCAAGUCGACGAUCAGUAGCCGGACUGAGAGGUUGAACGGCCACAUUGGGACUGAGAUACGGCCCAGACUCCUACGGGAGGCAGCAGUCGGGAAUAUUGCGCAAUGGAGGAAACUCUGACGCAGGGACGCCGCGUAUAGGAAGAAGGUUUUCGGAUUGUAAACUAUUGUCGUUAGGGAAGAGAAAGGACAGUACCUAAGGAGGAAGCUCCGGCUAACUACGUG
rnacentral:rRNA from 1 species